rnacentral:lncRNA from 1 species
CCCUAAAAUAGUUCUUCCACACAAUUAUCAUUACACAUGAAUCCAUGAACAUCCAAAACCAAUAGCAUCUAAUCAUUAUCACAUAUAAACAGGGCAUGCAAGUGUGAUUAUUGAUCGCUAGCAUAUUUCCAGUAAAAUUAAGAAAAACUAUUAAUAGUUGGUAGCCUGAGCCCAACAAGAAGCCAGAAGAAGUAAUCAAGAUGCCCUUC